AGCAGCAGCCGCGGGAAUACGUAGGGUGCAAGCGUUAAUCGGAAUUACUGGGCGUAAAGCGUGCGCAGGCGGUUCGCUAAGACAGAUGUGAAAUCCCCGGGCUUAACCUGGGAACUGCAUUUGUGACUGGCGGGCUAGAGUAUGGCAGAGGGGGGUAGAAUUCCACGUGUAGCAGUGAAAUGCGUAGAGAUGUGGAGGAAUACCGAUGGCGAAGGCAGCCCCCUGGGCCAGUACUGACGCUCAUGCACGAAAGCGUGGAGAGCAAACAGGAUUAGAUACCCCGGUAGUCCCUGUCUCUUAUAC
rnacentral:rRNA from 1 species